AUUGAACGCUGGCGGCAUGCCUUACACAUGCAAGUCGAACGGCAGCACGGGUGCUUGCACCUGGUGGCGAGUGGCGAACGGGUGAGUAAUACAUCGGAACAUGUCCUGUAGUGGGGGAUAGCCCGGCGAAAGCCGGAUUAAUACCGCAUACGAUCUACGGAUGAAAGCGGGGGACCUUCGGGCCUCGCGCUAUAGGGUUGGCCGAUGGCUGAUUAGCUAGUUGGUGGGGUAAAGGCCUACCAAGGCGACGAUCAGUAGCUGGUCUGAGAGGACGACCAGCCACACUGGGAAUGAGACACGGCCCAAACUCCUACGGGAGGCAGCAGUGGGGAAUUUUGGACAAUGGGCGAAAGCCUGAUCCAGCAAUGCCGCGUGUGUGAAGAAGGCCUUCGGGUUGUAAAGCACUUUUGUCCGGAAAGAAAUCCUUGGCCCUAAUACGGUCGGGGGAUGACGGUACCGGAAGAAUAAGCACCGGCUAACUACGU
rnacentral:rRNA from 1 species